rfam:Listeriaceae bacterium FSL A5-0281 contig000023, whole genome shotgun sequence.
UUGGCUGUAUCCAGUGAUGGAACGGUACAUGCUUUCUUUAAGAAAAAUACGUUUGCUUUGAUCCCGUGUUGGACAGAGACAAAAGG